UGGGGAAUUUUGGACAAUGGGCGCAAGCCUGAUCCAGCAAUGCCGCGUGCAGGAUGAAGGCCUUCGGGUUGUAAACUGCUUUUGUACGGAGCGAAAAGGUCUGCCCUAAUACGGUGGGCUCAUGACGGUACCAUCAGAAGAAGCACCGGCUAACUACGUGCCAGCAGCCGCGGUAAUACGUAGGGUGCGAGCGUUAAUCGGAAUUACUGGGCGUAAAGCGCGCGUAGGUGGUUUGUUAAGUUGAAUGUGAAAUCCCCGGGCUCAACCUGGGAACUGCAUUUGUGACUGCAUAGCUGGAGUGCGGCAGAGGGGGAUGGAAUUCCGCGUGUAGCAGUGAAAUGCGUAGAUAUGCGGAGGAACACCGAUGGCGAAGGCAAUCCCCUGGGCCUGCACUGACGCUCAUGCACGAAAGCGUGGGGAGCAAACA
rnacentral:rRNA from 1 species